rnacentral:lncRNA from 1 species
CGGAGGCUCUCUUAAAAGAAGUCCUUUACUGCUACGUAUAGGAGUCAGCACUCAGCCCCGCCUCCUCCCGAAGCUCUGUCCGCAGCCGGAGCGCCGCUCCGCCCCGGGCGCAGCUCCCGCAGCGGUGCUGCUGCUGCCGUCGGGCGCUGAUAGAGCCGGGCCCGCCCUGCAGCCCGGCCGGCCGCACGUUGGCUGCGGAGCUCCGUCCGGGAGCUCCUCGCCGCCCUCCGUCCCCCCUCGGCCUUCCGUGCCCAGCGCCGAGCAAAGGCCGUGCCCACAGCCUGCCCUGGGCUGCCGCGGGGCAGAGCCGUUCCCACUGGGGAGAGCCGGAGGGUAAACGGGAGUCCCCGGGCAGACCCUCAAGUACCCAAACGGAGAGGCACGGACUGGCUUUGCUUUUUUAAGAAAUUGCUUAGGUUUUUUAUUGUUAUUAUUUUGUGUUGUCCUUUUAAACUGUUUGUUUUCCAGUGCUGAAACAAAAGUCCCAAUGGAGCAACUGGAAUGGACCUUCAUGCUGAACUUCAGCCCUUCUUCCCAUCCAAACCAAAGUCUUCUGCUUCUCCAAAGGAACAGCUUGCCUCUGUACCUUCUCUGACACUGCCUGGAGGCCGCAGGGAGCUCGGGGCCGUCUGCUGGACUCCUCCUGCUGUCCUGGUGCAGCAGCUCAGAGGACAGCAGUGCCAGUCGUUCCCAUUUCCUCAGAGCUCGGGGAAGAAGAGGUGAAAGCUCUUGGGGAAGGGUGAGGAUGGAAGACGGGGAAGAAAGGGCGGUAGGGAGCAGCAGCUGGCGCAGGGGCUCUCUGGCGGAUGGUGGCAUUUCAACAUCCAGAUGGAAAUCGAGAGCCCCUGGUGCACUGCCAAUGGAUGUAGCAGUGUCUCCAGGCAGACACGAUGUUGGGGUGCCUGCCCUGCCUCGAUGGAGGUGGAUCCACCUCCAUGGGUGGUUCUUCUAGAGGGAUGUCCACCUCCAUGGGCUGGACGCUGCUCUCUGGUGGAUCGACGUCCAUCGGCUCAGGUUUGCUGCUGCUCCCCUGAAGCCGUGGCUUCAUCCUCCUCCACAAGGGGCAACAGAAAAGGUGAGGAGGGACUCACCUCCAGCAUUGCGUGUAGGUUUGGGUGCCACAACAUAAAAAGGACAUAAAGUUGUGAGAGAGCAUCCAGAGAAGGGCUGCAGAGGUGUGCGAGGUGUGGGUGAGGAGCGGCCGAGGUCACUUUGUUUGUUGGGCCCAGAGCAGAGCAGGCUGAGGGGAGGCCUCAUGGUGGCUGCAGCUCCUCACAGGGAGCGGAGGGCAGCGCUGAGCUCUGCUCUCUGGGGACCGUGGCAGUGCCUGAGGGAACAGCACGGAGCUGUGUCAGGGGAGGAACAGGUGGGGGUCAGGGAAAGGCUCUGCCCCAGAGGGCGGUGGGGACGGCCCGGAGCUGCCAGAGCUCAGGGUAUGGGUGGUGCUGUGUGGAACCAGGGGCUGGGCUCGAUGAUCCUUACAGAUCCCUUCUGACUUGGGAUAUUCAGUGAUUCCAUGAAGUCUUGGAUCUGAUGGAGAUCAGGGCAAAAACUGCACUGAUUGCUGAAGUUGUAACAGGGUUUUUUUUUUUGUUUGGCUUUUUACUUCCCCGUGUUAUUCUCUGCACUGAUACAGCUAAAUCCUGAAAAUGUAAGGUAUGUCAGGGAAUGGAAAAGCAUCUAGGAAAAUGUUCCACUUAUCUCCAAAGUGAAUUUUUAAAUGGUGUUGAGUUUGCUUUUGAAAACCUAAUAGCACUCACACGAAAGUACCUGCCUGCUAUGGGAUGUUUUUAAUGCUAGAGGCUCUUCCCAUCACUGUUUGAUAGGUCUGUGAUGAGACUGAGGAUAUUUCUACAAGUACUUUUAACCAAAUCCACCAAUAAAUGUUUCUCUUUUUUUUUUCCCACCAAGGUGGUUAAAAAAAAAGCCCCAAACAUAUGUGCUGUGGUUGUUUCUUUUUGUUUGCAAUAACCAAGAAGGCUAUUUUUGCUAUUAAACUUCCAGAGGUUUUUAGGCCUAAAAUUGAAUGGACAAUAGAAGAUUUUAAAAGUGAUUUCCAAUUAAUUAAUUAACUUGCUGAAAAGCUACAGAUUGGAAACGUUUUCUCCUUAGUAGAAUGAAAAUAUUUUGGAGAACAUUUAGGUGGAUUGCUAAUGAAUUUAUGGGAAUUAUGUGGUUUAAAAACGUAGGUAUUCAUUUUCCUCAUUCUCAGUGGAAGGUGGAAUUUUUUUCUAAUUGCAUCAUAGACUGGGAACCCCCAUGGUAAAAACUUUCUCCCCCGAACAGUCACAUAUCCGGUGUGCUUUAUGUAGAUGAAAAGUUGAGCUAGCAAAACAAACCAACUUUUUAAUGGAAAACUGUUUUUGCCUUUUUCUCAGGAUGGUGUUGGCGUUCAGUGAGAACUGUCCUGCCUUUCUUUACCUCAAACCAAAAGUGGGGUAAAGUAAAUCCUUCAGGCAUACCUUCCAGGGGAGCAGCAGUCACUUCCUCCAGAGGCUGCAUUAAGCACAGCAACAAAUCAGAGCAGAUGUGGCUCAAUGAAACCAUCGUGCAGCUCAGGAUGAGUGAGGUGGCUACAGACAGCUUUGAAUAUGUGUGUGCUUGUGUGUCUGUGUACAAUAUAGCCGAAGAAGCCUCCACUGCUGUUUGUGCUGCAGAACAGAUGACUUGGAAAAGGCUCUCGAAGUUCUGGGACUUCACCCUGACAUGUCCUGGAUUUGAACAUCCCCAGGUCUGGAGGCUGCCUGCUGGCUGGUGUGGGCUUAUCUCUGCAGGAGGCAAGCUGAAGCACUCCGUGCCAUUGCCAUGCUUUUUAAAUGAGGAGGAGAAGAGGAAAGCUGAAGCCUUUACUCUGCCUGUUGGAUGAAAAUUAUUUGUGGCUGAUGAACGGCUGAGUAGCAAUAUGCAAAUUCCCCUGGAUGUACAUAGAAUGGUCGUCUGUGGCACAGCAGCAUUAGUCUGGCUGUAGGAUGAUUCACAUGCCUGAAGAAUAAAAGGUGCUUCACCUCAAAUAAUACCGUUUUUGUGCUUAUUGUUAUCGGUGUGAUUAAACCUCUGCCACUGUCUGAUUUUGGAGACUGGUGAACAUCAGCCGUUCUUAGAGACAGCAGAGCCAGAAUUACCUAUGGCUGCGGAGGGGAUCUGGGACAGUGCGGCUAAGGAGAGCACAGUGUGUUUCUAAGUGGGCUACAGAACAUCAUUAUCAUAUUUCUUCUGGAACCUGCUUUCUGGGCUGAAACACAGAAUGGCUUCCACUGAAGGUGUGUAUAGAAUCAGAGGGCUAUUCCACACCUGUAAACUGGACAACCAUCAUGGUGCCUAUGGGAUCUGUUCAGGCCACAUCUAUUAGGAACCUGGCCUGUGCAGCCCAGAAGACAGCUAGAGAUGGAUGGUGCUGGCGUGCGGCCACUUCGGAAGACAGAGCUGGAUCAGCCUGCCGGGGACAGAGGCAGACAAAUGGAACCUGCAGGACAAGCAUGCCAUUACCUUGUUUGCCAAACUCAUUACAGAGAAGUUGCAAAGUUCCAGUAUGCUGCCCCUGGCCUCCGAGACAAAGCUGUCAGCUGGUUCGUGAAUAAUUCCAGGCCACAUUCAGGCAGCCCGUUGUCGCUUGGCGCCCAGCAUGCUGCAGGUGAAGAUGGAAGCUCCAGCCCCAAGGAGGAAUAAUGCUGACCCCCAUCAGCACCAGCUCCUCACACUCAGCAGAGAUCAGGUGCUCUGGGGCAGAAAGCCCUGACUCAUGGCAAUCCAAGCUUCAGACAAAGUUGGUUGGAGCACCAUGAUCAUAAACUCCAUCAUAGAUUGGCUAUCAGCAGGAUGGAGGAAGAAGUAUGUCAUAACUUCUGUAACAGACUGCAAAUGCUUUGGCCAAUGGAUUGAUGUGCCCUGUGAUUUAACAGGUGGCUGCAUGCUUCGCAGAUGAGUCGAUAUGGAGGAAGAAAGCCCUAAUUUGCUGCAUCCUUUGACUUUUCAAGUGUUGACCAAUGGGGAUGUUUCAAAAUCAUGGCUCAGAGGUACCUGGCAAAGCUCCCGUGGUGCUGCACCUUGCUGUCUCCUGCACUGAGCAGCACUGGAUGGACUAGGAGUGGCCAUCUACGUUUUUUAUUUGCAAAAACAGAAUCCCUUUCAGCACAGCCAAACUCUUCUCUUUGAGAUUCAACAUAGCCAAACUCUUCUUCUUUUUUAAUCUCUCCAUCUGCAAAGCUUCCCAAAUACUUCUGUAAGCAUUAGUUGUUGGGAAAAGAUUGGGUUCUAGCCUUGAUAAGUAGGCUUGCACAGUGCUCAUGGUGGUUGCAAUACCACCGUCUGCACUGCUAGUGAUUGAUAUCUGACAGUCAGAAUAAAUUCUCUGUAUCUGUUAGGCUGACAGAGUCAGAUCUACCCCUGUUAGUCUUCUGCAAGUGAGAGCCUCUGGAGCUCCAUGAAUGUGCACAAAUAUGAAUCUGAAGCAUCACCAUCCUUGCAUAGGAGUAUGGACUCAAUGAUCCUUAUGGGUCUCUUCCAACUUGGGAUUUGCUAUGAUUCUGUGAUUUUAUGAGUUCAAUUGUACAAGUCUAUGUAAUUAAGCAAAAGCUUCUCCUUACAAACAUCAUUUGUAAAUGCUGAUUGCAUUCAACUGAGAUGUGAAAUAUCUGUUGACAUUAACCCAAGCUUUGGCCCAGGUGAGGAGCAAAGCUCGUAGAGCUGCUCAUGGAUUUUCCUCACAUUGAAGUGUUAAAGUUGAGAAGGACUGGAAUGACUGGUACCCACUGGGAUUGCCUGGUAAGAAUGGUGUUGCCUUCCCUUCCCUUCCAGGCCUGCUGACUAUGAGUGUGAUUAAAGACAGGUCAGGAAGGGCUGCCUGCUAAUAAUUUUAUAGAGGAAAUCUCUUGCAUUAUUCAUCAGACAUAUAUGGCCUGUUCUAAGAGGAGAGAAAAUAGAGAAGCACCUUUGGUUGUAUUGUAACAUCUGCGAGUACAGCUGGUUCUUUUUCUGUGUUCCACUUAUUAUGGGCAAUUUGUAUGUUUUCUUCUCCAUCUUCAGUUAAAAAAAAAAAAGAAAGAAAAAAAAUUUCUCUGAAGAGAAGGAACUUGCAAAGCUUGUUAUUACCAGGGCAAAACUCCCACUCCUCCUGUAGAGACAGGAACUGCCAAGCUCUUGUUCAGCCUUGGCUGUAAUACCUACUAUCAUUUCUGAGCCUUCACGUAAUCAGGUAAUUUAAUAUAAUUCCUCCACUUUCAAUCAAGCCUGGUGAGCAGAUGUCAGGAUUCAACCCCUGGGUUUUGUCUGCUGCUGCAGCCUGGUACCAGUGCUCAUGGCAGAGCCCACCUUUGCUCACCCUGUUGCUCUGGGUGGGAUGGGGGCCCUGGGCUGGACUAGGCUCCACCUGGAUAGGAAUGGAGAUAAGCACCUUCUUCCUUAAAGUGCAGGAACAAAAAGAUUGUCAGUGUUUUCUGAGCAGCGUGUGAGCAGUUGCUGUUUCACAGCCGCAGUAUUACCAUGCUGCGUCUCAGCUGAUGAGAAAGAUAAGGAUGAGGGAGAACAGAUGCUGGGAACAGAUAAAUGGGGAUGAAGGAGAACAGAUGUUGGGAUUUUGUAUGAGAUUUGCUCUGUCUUGAUUCAUAAGUUUGGCCAGCAAAUGCAAUGACCACAUUUCUCGUGUCUCUGAGUAGCAACAUUGACCCUACUGAAGAUGUGAAGCUUAACCCACAAAUACCCACAGAGUGUUUUGAUGAAAAAUAGCAAGACAAUAUUUAGUGAUUAUUUUUACUAUUAGGCAAGAUUUUAGCAUCCCUUCCCAGGCAGCUGCUCCAGAAAUAACACUUUGUUCUUGAAGCAUAGAAAGCCUUGUGUACGCUGCCUGCAUAUGGCAGGAUCAGCUUCUCCUGGGAAGCUGCAUCCAUCAGCAUCCUUUAGGAUCUGAGUCCAGCACCACUGCUGCUUCAGAACUGCACAAAAUACAAGCUCUGCAUUAUGUUUGGGUUGGACAGGGAACAGCACACGUGUAUGUUUUUGCCCACACUGCUGAAGGUUUGGGAUCUUCUGUUUUAGAAGCAGUGUUGGGUUAGAUGGACUCAUGGCUUAGGACCAUUUGUUUUGUUAUGAGCUACCUAAUGAUGUGUAAUCUUGUCAUGCCCACUCCCUGAGAAGGGCUGGAUGUGGGUGCUUGGCAUGUUGCAUUAGCAUAAUUUUUCUAAUCUGGAGUUGCUAAGCAUCCCAAGAAACAAUGUGAGAGCUACGUGGAAGACAGAAUCCUGGACACAUUAUGUAGCAUAAGCAUCAGUGGCAAUUUGGGAGGCUCACAAUGUACGUGAGGUUAAUGCAUAGUAUGUGACAGUUGUCUGGCAUGUGGAUUUUGUGAACAAUCUUAACUAGACUGUUGGAAAUUAUAACCAGGAGCAGGGAGAGAUGCACUUUGUUGGGAAAAACAACAGCAACAGGGAAGGAGAUGAGCAUGUUUCUGAGUUGCUUUUGUCAUUUGUGUUUAUGUCCCAAGGGAUGGUCUAGCUGCUCCCUCGUGCCCAAUAGUGUGCUUAGAGUACUGGCUGACUGAGGCUUGCUCUAACACUCCCCUUCCCUUCCCUUCCCUUCCCUUCCCUUCCCC